GUUAGAGGAAGUAACAGAACAGUUAUAUAUAGAGGGUGCUAGAGGAAGUAACAUAACAGUUAUAUGUAGAGGAUGCUAGAGGAAGUAACAGAACAGUUAUAUGUAGAGGAUGCUAGAGGAAGUAACAGAACAGUUAUAUGUAGAGGAUAAUAGAGGAAGUAACAGAACAUUAUAUGUAGAGGAUAAUAGAGGAAGUAACAGAACAGUUAUAUGUAGAGGGUGCUAGAGGAAGUAACAGAACAGUUAUAUGUAGAGGAUAAUAGAGGAAGUAACAGAACAGUUAUAUGUAGAGGAUAAUAGAGGCGGUAACAGAACAGUUAUAUGUAGAGGGGGCUAGAGG
rnacentral:lncRNA from 1 species